GACGAACGCUGGCGGCGUGCUUAACACAGGCAAGUCGUACGGUAAGGCCCUUUCUGGGGUACACUAGUGGCGGACGGUUGCGUAACACGUGGGUAACCUGCCCACAACUUUGGGAUAACUCUAGGAAACUGGUGCUAAUACUGGAGAUGUGCUCCUGCUGCAGGGGUGUGGUUGGAAAGCUCCGGCGGUUGUGGAUGGACUCGCUGCCGAUCAGCUUGUUGGUGGGGUAGUGGCCUACCAAGGCGGCGACGGGUAGCCGGCCUGGGAGGGUGACCGGCCCCAGUGGGACUGAGAGAGGGCCCAGACUCCCACGGGAGGCAGCAGUGGGGAAUAUUGCACCAUGGGCGCAAGCCUGAUGCAGCAACGCCGCGGGCGGGAUGACGGCCUUCGGGUUGCAAACCGCGUUCAGCAGGGACGAAGCUUUUUGUGACGGUACCUGCAGAAGAAGCACCGGCUAACUACGUG
rnacentral:rRNA from 1 species